rnacentral:rRNA from 1 species
AGAGUUUGAUCCUGGCUCAGACUGAACGCUGGCGGCAUGCCUAACACAUGCAAGUCGAACGGUAACAGGUCUUCGGAUGCUGACGAGUGGCGGACGGGUGAGUAAUGCGUAGGAAUCUGUCUUUGAGUGGGGGACAACCCAGGGAAACUUGGGCUAAUACCGCAUAAGCCCUGAGGGGGAAAGCGGGGGAUCUUCGGACCUCGCGCUGGAAGAGGAGCCUACGUCUGAUUAGCCAGUUGGUAGGGUAAAGGCCUACCAAGGCGACGAUCGGUAGCUGGUCUGAGAGGACGACCAGCCACACCGGGACUGAGACACGGCCCAGACUCCUACGGGAGGCAGCAGUGGGGAAUUUAUCGCAAUGGGGGCAACCCUGACGAAGCAAUGCCGCGUGAAUGAAGAAGGCCUUCGGGUUGUAAAGUUCUUUCGUGGAGGACGAAAAGGUGGGUGCUAAUAUCGCCUGCUGUGACGUAAUCAAAA